GAUGAACGCUGGCGGCGUGCCUAAUACAUGCAAGUCGAGCGAACGGACGAGAAGCUUGCUUCUCUGAUGUUAGCGGCGGACGGGUGAGUAACACGUGGAUAACCUACCUAUAAGACUGGGAUAACUUCGGGAAACCGGAGCUAAUACCGGAUAAUAUUUUGAACCGCAUGGUUCAAAAGUGAGAGACGGUCUUGCUGUCACUUAUAGAUGGAUCCGCGCUGCAUUAGCUAGUUGGUAAGGUAACGGCUUACCAAGGCAACGAUGCAUAGCCGACCUGAGAGGGUGAUCGGCCACACUGGAACUGAGACACGGUCCAGACUCCUACGGGAGGCAGCAGUAGGGAAUCUUCCGCAAUGGGCGAAAGCCUGACGGAGCAACGCCGCGUGAGUGAUGAAGGUCUUCGGAUCGUAAAACUCUGUUAUUAGGGAAGAACAUAUGUGUAAGUAACUGUGCACAUCUUGACGGUACCUAAUCAGAAAGCCACGGCUAACUACGUGCCAGCAGCCGCGGUAAUACGUAGGUGGCAAGCGUUAUCCGGAAUUAUUGGGCGUAAAGCGCGCGUAGGCGGUUUUUUAGUCUGAUGUGAAAGCCCACGGCUCACCCGUGGAGGGUCAUUGGAAACUGGAAAACUUGAGUGCAGAAGAGGAAAGUGGAAUUCCAUGUGUAGCGGUGAAAUGCGCAGAGAUAUGGAGGAACACCAGUGGCGAAGGCGACUUUCUGGUCUGUAACUGACGCUGAUGUGCGAAAGCGUGGGGAUCAAACAGGAUUAGAUACCCUGGUAGUCCACGCCGUAAACGAUGAGUGCUAAGUGUUAGGGGGUUUCCGCCCCUUAGUGCUGCAGCUAACGCAUUAAGCACUCCGCCUGGGGAGUACGACCGCAAGGUUGAAACUCAAAGGAAUUGACGGGGACCCGCACAAGCGGUGGAGCAUGUGGUUUAAUUCGAAGCAACGCGAAGAACCUUACCAAAUCUUGACAUCCUUUGACAACUCUAGAGAUAGAGCUUUCCCCUUCGGGGGACAAAGUGACAGGUGGUGCAUGGUUGUCGUCAGCUCGUGUCGUGAGAUGUUGGGUUAAGUCCCGCAACGAGCGCAACCCUUAAGCUUAGUUGCCAUCAUUAAGUUGGGCACUCUAAGUUGACUGCCGGUGACAAACCGGAGGAAGGUGGGGAUGACGUCAAAUCAUCAUGCCCCUUAUGAUUUGGGCUACACACGUGCUACAAUGGACAAUACAAAGGGCAGCGAAACCGCGAGGUCAAGCAAAUCCCAUAAAGUUGUUCUCAGUUCGGAUUGUAGUCUGCAACUCGACUACAUGAAGCUGGAAUCGCUAGUAAUCGUAGAUCAGCAUGCUACGGUGAAUACGUUCCCGGGUCU
rnacentral:rRNA from 1 species